CAAGUCGGAGAGGAAAAAGCCGGCAGCUUUCAAAACUGCCCAAUUUCGAUAAAGCCUGAGAAGAAGCACCGACUCUCGGGGCGUGCGCGCGAACCUCAAUCGACGACGAUUCCCUAGAGGAAGCCUCCACAAAUCCAGCCCAAUUCAAUGGCAAGUUUUCAGCCUAGGUUAGGGUCUAGAAGAGAAACCCCAAGAGGACGUCAUCAUGGUUUAAGUCAACAAAAGAGGCAAGAGAUAAAAGAAGCAUUUGAACUCUUUGAUACAGAUGGUUCUGGGACUAUUGAUGCCAAAGAGCUGAAUGUUGCCAUGAGGGCCUUGGGUUUUGAAAUGACAGAAGAGCAAGUGAAUCAGAUGAUUGCUGAAGUAGACAAAGAUGGCAGUGGUGCGAUUGAUUUUGAUGAAUUUGUAUACAUGAUGACAGCCAAGAUGGGAGAAAGGGAUUUCAGGGAAGAACUAAUGAAAGCUUUUCGCAUUAUUGACCAAGAUAACAAUGGAAAGAUAUCUGAUGUUGAUAUCCAUCAUGUUGCUAGAGAGUUGGGGGAAAACUUUACUCUUCAAGAGAUCAGAGAGAUGAUAGCAGAAGCAGACCAAAAUCGCAACAAACAUAUUCACCUAAAAUGUUUUUCUGAAACUUUUAGGAAGCACAACCAAGAUAUAGUGUCAGUAAUUUGUAGAAAUACUGCUCACCUAUUAUGGCUUCGGUAGAGCUUCAACAACAAUGAGGAUGGAAUUCGAGCUGGAGAGGAGAAAAAUAUUUCUACUUUUAGUUUCUAUUUCUGUCUGUGUAAUUAAGAGGAACUGCAAUAGUUAUUUCGGAACAUUUAUAUCCCACACUGGUUGACUUUAGAAUGAGGACUCUUCAUAAUGCGUAUACAGUAUCUAUAUGGACUCCUGGUAGAAAGAACAUGGCUCAAUGUGUACAAUAAAAUUGUGAAAAAUGGAGAAAAUCAAAACCCUUUCCUUAUCAAAGUGUCAAGGAAAAAUAUUGGAAAUGAUCUAGCUUUUUGUAAAAUAAGCAUUACACCUUAAAUGUGUUCCCCUUUAUAUUGCAGAAUACACAAGGAGGUUAUGUACAUAAAUCAUUGCCUUAUCAAAUUCGCAUUUUUUGUAUUUUGGAAACCAUACAGUAGAUAUGCUUGAAUAUGGUUUUACCUUAGGGUAAGUCAGAAUUUGAAGCUGUGUUUUAUCUUCGUCCUCUUUUUUAUUGGCAUAUUCCUUCAUGAAACCAUUCACUAAUAGUAAUUAAAUAUAAAUGUUAAAUUAUUAUGUCCUACAUUGCUUAUUAAUUUGGCAAGAAAAUAAACUACAAUAUAUGAAUAAUUUUUAAGUUUUGAAUUAGAAAAAAGGACAGGUAAGUUUUUUUUCGAAUUCGGUGGUGUAUUAGUGUACGGGGCAUAACAUACAGAUUCCUUUAGUGUAAGGAUUAUGUAAUUGUUAGAUAGGUUUGGGAACUUCAGAGAAAGAUAAGGUGCAUCAAGCUCAAUACACAUCCUUGGUGCCAUUAGCUGAGGAGCCGAUUGACACGUGCCGACAAGGAUUGACAGUCCUGGCAGUGGGCAGUCGUGACAGCGACUGGCUGUUGCGACAACUCUGCAUUCGGCGCGCAGUCAGUACCAUAUGCCUCCAUGCGGACUAGUUGCUACGUCACGGCCGUACAACCGAUCGUUGCCUGGCCAUUAUUAUAUGCCACGUCAGCUUAGGUAAAUGACAAAAUAGGCUCCCAUAGAUAAAGGGACAGCUCGAGGGACCUUAGGUACGCAUGAUAUUUUCAUCCACUCAUAGAGGCCACCCUUUGCUGAAGCUUUUUUCUUUUCAUAUUGUUGCCUCUCUAUCCUAACUUAGGCAUCGGAGGAUUCUCCACUGGAAAAUCUCCGGCAAGCAAACUUUUUGUAGGCCAUCCCCUAGGGAGAUCAAUCUCCCACUCCUUCCUUGUCCACCUCGGUUCUUACUGACCUCAAGACCAUCCAAGCCGUGCUUCGAUCUUAGUCUGGGACUCAACGGCAACAUAGGCGGUUAUAGCUUUUUACUGCCACGCCUAUAUAAAGAGGGCCGAAGGACCCCAAAAGAGGGGCUCUCGUAGCCAGGAGCUCCCAUUAGCUUGGGGCUCUCAUAGCUCAAAGCUUUUAUGGUAAAAGGCUCUCAACCCCUUGUCCAUCAUCCUACCCUCUUUCUUUUGGCAGGUUAGUAGGUCUAUGAGCUGCCAGAGGCCGGGGUGAAGCCCAAAGCCAAGGUGAAACUCAAGGCCGAGGUGAAACCCAAGGCGAAGGUGAAGGUCGAGGCCGAGGUGAAGGAUGAGGCCGAGGUGAGAAGGCCGACCAGAGGAGGCCGACUAGAAGAAGACAAUGCUCUACGCUAAUCUUUUCCUUCGUAUUUUUUUAUUCUCUAUUGCUAUUCCAAAGCCCUCUCUGACUUAGGCAUUGGAGGGUCUGGCCGGAGCCAAUUCGGCGAGCCUCUCUUUUCUUCCUUUGUGUACAGAUCGACAUCUCUUUGCGGAUAGAUUGGCACCCUCCAAACCUUCAUAGUCGGAUCGAAUUUUGCGGCAACAGAUUAGCGCCAGAAGGAGGGCUCCUAGCCUCCAGCUACAUCAACAUCAAUUGACGGGAGGAACAACCAGCAUGAGGUCGCGAGGAGCCCAUGGCAUGUUGCAUGCCUUGCAACGCCAUGCUCCAGCCUCGGCUGAUCUCUGCAAAGCACCUCGACGGCACCCGAUCUCACGGACUUGGAACUUCGACUAUCUUCGCAUCUACUAUCAGUAAGGUUCAUUGUAUUCCGGCUAUCUUUAAUUAAAAAAAAUCUUCUUGUCAUGUCUUUGCCUUCAGAUCGGACAAUUAUGAUAAGCGGACUCGACUUGAGACAUCCUGAAAAUGCCUGGGCCCCAAUAAGGGAGACACCCUGAGGAUGUCUGGGGCCUCCUUAAACCGAGCCCACUUGGAUUUUGACCAGUAGGCAACUCUAGAGAUGCCUCCGAGAGCAUACUCUGAAGAUAAACGGAGGCGACGACCUAUUGAAGAUCGAGCCCACUCGAAUUUCUUCUGAUAGGCAACCCCAGAGAUGCCUUCGAGAGCAUACUCUAGAGAUGAACGAGGCGCCGACCUCCUGAAGACCGAGCCCACUCGGAUUUUUUCUGGUAGGCAACCCCAGAUAUGCCUCUGGAGAGCAUACUCUGGAGAUGAACGAAGGCGCAGGCCUUCUGAAGACUGAGCCCACUUGGAUAUUCUCUGGUAGGUAAUCUCAAAGAUACCUCCGAGAGCAUACUUCAGAGAUGAACGGAGGCGCCAACCUCCUGAAGAGCAAGCCCACUUGGACAUCUUCUGGUAAGCAACCCCCGAGAUGCCUUCAGGAGCAUACUCCGGAGACGAACGGAGGCGCCGACCUUCUGAGAACCGAGCCCACUCGAAACUUUCUCCGAAUCUCAAUUCAUGGAUGCCUCUAGGACCAUGGUCCAAAGAUGAAAGGAGACCCCCGAGCUGAUCUGGGAUCUCCUCACUCAAAACUCCUUAAGGGCCAAACUCUGGAAAGAUCAAUCGAGGAGCCCGAGGCGAGCUAAAGCUCCAUAAGGAGAAGAGCGCGGCAUGAUGACCGAAAAGUGGUCGAACACAAGUAAAGACCGAAGUCGGGUACUUUGGAAAUUUCUUUACUUUUAUUAUCUUUCAGUAUAUAUAUUGAGCUCGACAGUGCCCAAACGAAAGAAACUACACAAAAGGUCAAAGCUUGGAGUGACGACCUGAACUCGAGCAAAAAUAAAUAAGGAUGAAAACUAAUGUCAGGUACUUCAAAUUUUUUUUUUAUUAUUUUCAUUGUUUUUCUGCAUAUAUAUUGACCUUGACAAAAAUCAAGCAAAAAGAGCUACAACAAAAGGUCAAAGCUUGGGGCAACGAUCUGAACUCAAGCAAAAGUAAACAAGAAGGAUGAAAACCGAAGUCAGGUACUUCGAAAUUUUUUUUAUUUUUAUUGUCUUGCUGCAUAUAUAUUGACCUUGGCAGAAACCGAGCAGAAAGAGCUCUAACAAAAUGUCAAAGCUUGGGGCGACGACUUGGACUCAAACAAAAAACAAACAAGGGCAAAAGUUGAAGCCAGAGACCAGGCAAAACAAAAAGUACAUUGAGCUCGGUUUACCCGAGCGAAAAGAAAAAGGACUUCAUCCUUCACCACCUUCGUCACCGACGCAUUUAAGGCUCCCUGACAAAAGCUCCAUCCUCGAUCGAGAUGACGACAUGACUUUCGCCGUCCGAACUGGAAUGCAGUUCGGUCUCAGAAGUGGGAGGCAAGUGAUGGAGAAAAUAUUGGACGCCUCGACCUCGAAUCGGACUGACCUCGGUAUAAAUUGAGGUGAACUUUGGCCCCAGCCGAGGAGUUAUUAGCCGAGGAGCCGAUUGACACAUGCCGACAAGGACUGAUAGUCCCAAUAAUGGGCCGUCGUGACAGUGACUGGCCAUUGCGACAGCUUUGCAUUCGGUGCGCGGUCAGUACCAUAUACCACCCACGUUGAUUGGCUCCUAUACCGUGGCCGUACUGCCGGCUGUUGGCUGGCCAUCAUUAUACGCCACGUCAGCCCAAGUAAACGACAAAAUGGGCUCCUCUAUAUCAAGAGGCAGCCUGGGAGACCUCAGGUACGCAUGACAUUUUCAUCCACUCACAGAGGCUACCCUCUGAUGAAGCUUUUUUUCUUUUAUACUGUUGCCUCUCUAUCCUAACUUAGGCAUCAGAGGAUCCCCCACUGAAGCCAAUCUAGCAAGCCUUUCUUUUCUUCCUUUGUGUAUAGAUCGGCAUCUCUUUGCGGAUCAACUCACACCCUCCAAACCUCCAUAGUCUGACCAGAUUCUGCGACAAAAGGCGAUGGAGAAGUUGAUCUUGAUGAGUUUAUCAGGAUGAUGAGAAGGACAGGUUACGGUCAUUAAAUGUUCGAUGUUAUCUUGCUGCAAAAGGCUGUGAAUUCUGUUAUGAUGCAAGUGACUAAAAGAGCUUCGAAUUCUAGAUUGUGAUGUAAAUUAAAUUAACCUGCGUGCCAAACGAUACUGUAGUUUUAUGCACUGUAUCUUGCUUUAUUUUAUUUCUAUCGUUUCUAAUGUAUGGUUGUGCUGUUUGAUAGUUGUAAUACUCAUUAAGAAUGGCUAUUUUCUUGAUGUUGAAUCGAUAAUGCGACCACCAGAUUAUUUUCA